rnacentral:rRNA from 1 species
CGGGCUCAACCUGGGAACUGCAUCUGAUACUGGCAAGCUUGAGUCUCGUAGAGGGGGGUAGAAUUCCAGGUGUAGCGGUGAAAUGCGUAGAGAUCUGGAGGAAUACCGGUGGCGAAGGCGGCCCCCUGGACGAAGACUGACGCUCAGGUGCGAAAGCGUGGGGAGCAAACAGGAUUAGAUACCCUGGUAGUCCACGCCGUAAACGAUGUCGACUUGGAGGUUGUGCCCUUGAGGCGUGGCUUCCGGAGCUAACGCGUUAAGUCGACCGCCUGGGGAGUACGGCCGCAAGGUUAAAACUCAAAUGAAUUGACGGGGGCCCGCACAAGCGGUGGAGCAUGUGGUUUAAUUCGAUGCAACGCGAAGAACC